UCUCCUUGCCCACGCCGAUUCUCCUUGCCCACCUGACCCACACUGUCAACAACCUCUCAACUUCCUCAACCUCUCAACUUCCUUCACAGUCGCCUCACCUGCAACGCCGCCUCCCUCGCCAAUCUUGGCAUCCCUUCACCUUCCAACCAAUUCGUCGAGCUCGCCGAAAUCGAUGUCCCUUCACCUUCACCUUCACCAAACUCGCCUUCAUUGAUUCAAGCUCCCCGUCCUCCAAUUCCGAUCAAGUACAACCGCCGCCAUUGUCAACGUCGAUAGCCGAUGAUGCCAUCACCGAUCUGAACACACUGCCGCCGAUCUAAACACCUCCACUCCUUCAUCAUCUCUUGUGGCCAUGGGGGAAUAGAAAGAGGCUUAAAUCUGUGAAAGUCAAAGACCAAAGCUUGGCCAACAAAUUAGACUUGUACGCUUAGCUUAAUCAUAGAAACUAUUAUCAAAGUGAAAGAGGAUCAUUGUCAAGAUCCUAAUGCAAUUUCUCUUACACAAGAGGAGAUCUCAAACUUGGUUUUUAAGAAGAAGUCUGGUAUUGUAAAAGGACUUGGCAUGAGACCUUCUUCUUCUCUAGUAACCACCAUCUCAUCUAGUUUCUUUGUAGAAUAUGAGAUAAUUGAGCUCUAAGAGGCAAGAGCGAGGGAUGAAGAGGAGCGAGCUAGGGAGCAAGAGGCGCGAGCUAAGCAAGAUGAAGUCCAAAAGAAUAUUCUUAACUUUUUGAGAAGUAAGGCUAUGAUGACGCUCUUACCUAUGGGGGUGGCUCAUCUUCAAGUUAAAAUACUUAUUGAUUUCUUAUUGGUGGCUUUUAGGGGAUUUACUUUUGGCAUUA